UACGGAGGGUGCGAGCGUUAUUCGGAUUUACUGGGCGUAAAGCGCAUGUAGGCGGUUUGGAAAGUCUGAUGUGAAAGCCCCCGGCUCAAUCGGGGAAGUGCAUCGGAAACUACCAGGCUGGAGUGCAGGAGGGGAGAGCGGAAUUCCUGGUGUAGAGGUGAAAUUCGUAGAUAUCAGGAGGAACAACAGCGGCGAAGGCGGCUCUCUGGACUGUAACUGACGCUGAGUGUGCGAAAGCGUGGGGA
rnacentral:rRNA from 1 species